CUGGCUCCAUUGCAAACUGAGUAAACAGCUGACGGGCAGGCCAUCGUCGCUGCUGGAGACAGCGAGACAAACACACGAGGGUCAAAUCCUGAGCGUUUCAGCAGUCACUCAUCAAAAUACCAUUUGACUUGAGCAGGAAGCUGGACUAAAUGUGAACGAUGGUGUUUGGCACAUGGUGGGUGUCCAGAUGGCCUAGUGUUAGGCACUGCCUUCUGAGGGUGGAUCCCACCCAAGUUAUUAUCAAGGAUUCUUGCAACAGCCACAGGAGAGAUUGACAAGUCAGAUCGCCUUCAUUAAGAGCCAAAUUUGGGUCUGCUAAAUCACCCUCUAAAUUUCAAGCAGAUGAAAGACGCUGGAGGAGGAGGAAGAUGGCAAGAAGCGUCGUUCACUGGAAUGCAUGUACUGGAACGCACGCUCACGUCUUCUGCUGGAGGGACCUCUGCCAAGGGAGAACAUCACUUCUGAGGAACUGCUGGUUCAAAUUGCCACUUAAUCUCUUCAAAUUGGCUUUCGUGUACACCCGUGGCACACGGACCUCAGCAGUCUGGUAAGUCUGAAAGUCUGCAUUGUUCUGUUGUCAGGUUCAGAGAAAGACGAAACAAAAAUGCUCAAGUCCAGGGUUGCCUCACUGCCAGUAAUUCCUUUUAAACUAGUUGCAGUAUGCACUCGCAGUGCUGAAGAAUAAUAUCCACUUAACAUGCUGUCAGUUAGAGAAAUGUGUGCCCUGCUUUUGAAGAUGUGAUGAUGUGCUGCUUUGUCUCAGGUGCAGAGCUCUGUGCAGUGCAGCCUGAGGAGAUGCUCUAAAACCUCACCUUGGCUGCACUGAAAAGUGUGGCAAGAGAUGCAGAAUAAUGCCUGACACCUCGAAUGGCAUGCAUCGGGGCUAUUACAUGAUGAAUGGCUGUGUCUUGGGAAUUGGAAGUCAUGGGUGAUAGUUUUAUGGGAGCAGACAAGACUUCUGGAUGUAUAAAGAAAGAAGGACAUAACUCUGAAUUUAUACAAGCCAUAUUUAUUGUAAAACCCUAAUGAAGGUUAAUGCUUUGACCCCAAGGAAGGUGGUGUGCAUUUGCAAUGAAGCUCUGGGAUGCCUCACUUGUUGAUGGCACACAGAAGCUUGGCAAAUUUGGACUGGGAGAUGGACAUUGUUAUAUGCCAGUGAGCAGCCUGGCUGCUGCCAUCACAGCGCUGGGACCUUGCAGAGUUCCCUGUGAAGGCUGUAUUUGUUUUCUCUUAUGACUUUGGUGUUGAUGAUGAACAAUGGCAUUCUACCAAAUGUGGCAGAUAUCACCUGUGGAUGACCUGUGUUUUGAGGAGGAAAACCCUCCCAAGCGUUGCUCUGGUCUGCAGUGAAGUUUCACUGAUAUGGAACUUCAGGUGCUUCGUCCCCUGGUUUGCUGAUUUGCUGCUACUUGCUGUUUCUGAUUUUCUUUCUACAACAAUGUAUUGGGAACACAGUAUAUGGCUUCUUGAAGAAGGGACAUUCACAGAAGAAGCCACAAGGAAAAUCCCAUCGUGAGCCCCAAAGACACCUUCAUCUCUGUGUCUAUGCAGCUCUAGCCUGUGGCUGCUCUGUGGCCGUCCUGAGCAUGCGAUGCUGAUUCAAAGCUCCGAAUAAGCUGCACCGACCGCCUGUCUUGGCAUGACUGUCUGCUGCUGAAUUUGCUGGAGAAAUUAGAACUUGUCUUGCAGAAGAUGGACUCACUGGUUUUAUUAAUAUUGCAAAAUAGCUAGCUUUGACAAGCAGCCAAGAGUGGAGCUAGUCCCUUUCCCAGCCACAGGUUGUCUCAUAGUGAACCCUUCUUUCACUUGGCAGUGCACUGCAAAUGUGAGAACCAUGCCUCCUCCUGCCAUAGCUCUCACGUUACCCUCAUCUCCACCACACUGUCCAACUCAGCUUAGCUGAGCGCGGAAGCUGCCUCCUCACCCAAGUAAGCACUGCUUACCCAGGUGUGCCCGGCUGGAUGAGGGAGGGGGACGCCCAACAUCCUGAUGGCAGACAGAUCCCACAGCAAACUGUGUCUGUCAUAGGAGGUGCGAUGAGCCACUUAUGUUGGCCAGAUGUCUCACGGUUGGUUGAGAUGACCCUUCCCCUCUCUCUGAAGGGACACAACUUGGCUUUUCUACAGCUCCAGGUAGAGGAAAAGCACCACUGGCUGCAAGAACUGGGUCCCGCAGCACUUGGCUCUCCAGCAGCAGCUCCAUACAGUCAUCACACGGAGAGUCGGGGAAAGCAGGACCUGUCUGGAUAAUAAGCCAUCAUUUCGUCCCAUGCUUAAAAGAAGCUCUCUGUGCUUUGAACAGGCCAAAUAACAUUUUCCCCCAUAAUUUUUUAACUUUGGGCACCUUUGCAAAUUACUCUCCUGGCUGGGAAGGAGCUCAGGAGUGCCAGAACACCAUGGGAAGAGGCUGCUCUGUGAUACUGCCAACCUGCGAAGGAGGAGGAAAUGCUGGAAAUCCCCUAAGCACGCCUGUUUUCUUGAGAUUCCCAACUCGAUUUUGCAAACUCAGAAGAUUUUAUAUAAUUUGGUUUAGUCGGUUCAGAGGUCUAAGGCACUUGGCUGUGCAUCUGGAUUGCAUCUUUGGGGUGGGUUAUCCAAAAAAGUACUCAGAACAGUAUGAAAUUCAUCCUUCGCUAGCAAAGCUGAAGGAAAACAAGAGCACGGGAAGGGAGUUUCUUCUCUCUGCUUGCUGUGCUGGACGCUGGGUGUGAACCUGUGAUCCGUGCCUCUGCCACCAGAUGCUGUGCCUUGUGCCAGCAGAGGAGACAUCAGCCCGCUGACCACCUGUCUUCAGAGCAAGAAAAAAAGGAAAAGAGAGAGAAUUUGAAAAUAAAUCUCUCAUCUGAUGUGCAAGUGCAGCAAGCACAGUGAUGACACACAAGCUACAGGGCUUUAUUCAGGCUUCCCUGUCUGAUAAUGUGGGCCUUAAAAACCCCUGACAUGAAAUGAUUCAGGUUGAAAAGUGCAAGUCAAUCCAAAACAGAAACAAAGAAACUUAGUGUUAACGGCCCUUUCAUUUUAUCACCAUAGAAAAGGGUUGCGUAUUGAUGCGACAGUGCCCACGGAAGCCCAGAGCCCAUCUGCAGGUGGUGCUAACCCAGAGCUGUCCCACAGCAUUGGCAGCCACCAGCACCUCGCGGGCUGGGCUGGGCUGGGCUCUGCCUGCAGGCGGCUGCGUUCGGCGGUGGGUGAAACGAGUCCUCUGUUUUGAUGGGCCAACUCUUCCCUUUAGAUGUCUGUGCUCACCUCCCAUUAACUUUGGUAUGAGCUGAGCUCAUGCUUCCAAGAGCGAAAUUUGGCUUAUAAUUUCUGCAUGCUUCGGGAUCCUUUGGGUACCAUAUAAAUGUAACAUGCUGUGAUUCAGUGCUAAAGAGCAGAGAAAAUUCAACCCCCCAGGAGAUACAGUGAGAGAAAAUCAUAUAGAACCUUUGUUUAAAAUAAUAAUGAAAAGAAAAAAGAAAGAUCAAGAAAAACAAUUGAGAUUCAUUCCAAAGCUGAGUUCAUUGCACAGCGAGGACAGAACGCACAUCCCUUAUCCAGCGAUAGCUUCUUUGACAUGGAUGAGUUAGGGCCCAUUGGACCAGGCCCCAGUUUUGAAGGCAUUAUUGAAAAUGUCUUACCUCCUAUAUUUCCUGUUUUUUAAUCAAACUCACUGUGCUGCCAGAGGUGUUUCAUUUACCAGGAGAGGGGUCAGCGAGGCAGCCACGAGCAACAGGAAAUAAAGCACCGUGCGGCCCCUCCCUGCCUGGACGCGGGCUGGGGCCAGCAGUGCUGAGCUCGGUGCUGUCUGCCUGUACCAUGGCAUCCUACAGCCAACGUGGGCACUGGGGGUCUGCCUGCUGGCUCUGCCAUGCAGCCCUGCGCCAACAGCGAACGGUGCAUACAUCCUCGAAUUUUAUUUUCUAUCUACUGCCGUAGUUUCUUGGCUUGUUGCAACUGUCAUAAAAUUACUUUAUUAUAUUUUCCCAUCUGUUAUGUUUUUGCUUCUUUAGAGGGGGAUGUUGCGUGAUGCUUAUAGUCUAAUUUAGCUUUAAACUUGUAUGGCUGUUGUUUAUGGAAAACGAACGUUGCAUUUGCAGAAUAACCUGUGGCUUUCCUGUAGAACCAAGGAGAAUGUCUGCAGGCAGCAAACAUGGAUGCAACCAGAUGGACAGGACUGCUCAUUGCCUCCUGCCCCAACUCCUCUGCUUUGAGUUGUGGCCUUGGCCAUGGCCAGUGGAGUUCUAAUUACUCAUUAAUUUAGCUAUCCUCCUGCAUUGCCCAGCUAAGGGCUCUCCAUCACCACUUUCACCACUGUUGAAGCCAUUCAUUCAGUCUUAGCUUGAACAACCUAAGUCUUAGAAUAAUUUGUUCUUUAACAAAAAGCGCAGAGAACAGAGCGCUGCUCUGCCCACCUGGCUUGUUUUCCGCUCUCCUCUUUGCCUCCAGUCUGACUGCUGGUUCUCAUGGUCUGCCUGAGCUGGAGAGUAAUCCCAUCCACUCCCCUGCUCACAUUGUUGGUUUUUUUUCCUGUAAUUUGUACUGCUAGUGUAUAUUAAAGAUUUUGUUCUGUUAAACUGUUGAGACUGUUAGAUGAAAUCCAGCAUUUAAUCUGGGAGUUUGGCGAUACCAAAGGAUUUCUGAACACACAAAAUCCUGCUCUAAGAAGAAAAAAGUGAAGUUUGAGAAUCCUAUUUAUGUACCUCCACUGAGUCUCUCCUUCCUGCCCUGAGUGUAUUACACUGUGCUUCUCAAACACAAUUUUAUCUCCAGGAGAGGAAGCAAUAACUGUUCUUAUCAGUGGACCAGAACCUACAUCAUGCACAUGGCAUGAGGCAAAGAAAUCCCAUGCACCUGCAACUGGCCACGACUUUGGCACAAACAGAAGCAGAGAGAGCACACGUGUAAGGAGCUGAGUCAAGGACUUUGAGCAACGAUGUGACUGCUGUCUAUCAGGAUCUUGUGAAUAACAAGGCAGCUGGGGUGUGACUUCAAAAUAUAACUGUGACAUUUGUGGACAUCAUAGGCAAUUAGUUGUUUUUCGAUUGCGGUUGUCUAACUGGAAAGUAUGGGUGAAGUUUCAGCCUCUACAACGGUCCAACUGUUUGACAUCAACAGUUUCGAAAAAGGGACUUUUACUGUAUAAAAUGAUUAUUCCUAUCUGUAGAUUGUAGUAAAAGAAAAAUCCAAGGCACGAUGUGAAACUGAUGCCUGAGUAGAGCUGUGCAAGAUCGCUUCGGUGGCAGCUCUCUUGGCUUCCACCUCUGUGCCAUCAGUGCUGCACUUCUUGUGGAUGCUGUCCUUCAGGAUUAAGAAGGAAUAAAGAGAAUCAGACACAGAAUCACUGCCUGUGCUGGAAUUCAGCUGGUGAAGACCUCAAAAUGAACUGGCAAGGAGGUUGCAUUUGAACUCUGCAGCCCCUAUGUUCAAUUCUUUAUUAACUUUUUCAAUAUGUUCUAUUACGGUCACAAUAUGGGAGCUAUCUUGCAGCUAAUUUAACACCUGUAAAUUCCCAUGGCUGGUAAUGAAACAUUGCAUAGACUAGUGGAUGAAGCAUUUGCUUCAUAUAUCUAAGGUCAUUAGUUCAGUACUCGUUAAUGCUGUAGCUUUUAUUAAAAUUUCUUUUAGUUUUGGUUUUCUUUUUGCAUCAGCCCCUUACAGGCUGAUUAAUUCUUCUCCUUCCCAAAGCUAAACACAAAACAUGAGCAUCUGACCCAGAGCACUGGGGCUAAACUCUGCACUGAAGUCUUGAAUUAUGCUGCCUGAGGUUAUCCUUUCAAAGCCUCCCCGGCUGCCAUGAGGGUGACAGUGUGACACCAGGGGACACGUCAUCGUGGCCAGGUCAUGGUGACACAAGUGACACUGCUGUUGGCACGUUCCGUUCCCUCUGCCCAGCCUGCGCUGUGUCAUCACUGCUGCGGCUGAGAAAAGCAGAGGCAGUGAGCUCCGGCCCUGCAGCUGGUGUUGCUGGAUGUUUUCUAUCCAACCUGACCCUUUCUCAACCCUGACAUGGGUUGGGUCCACCACAGUAGCCAACUUUUCAAAACACAACCAGCACAAAGCAACAUUAUCAUGAAAGUAAGCGGCUUCUGGAGAUGAAAUCACAUGAGCCGUGCAUCCAAAUGCGAUGCUGCAGCUUCUGGGAAACGCUGAGCGUGCGCUUCUUCACCUUGCAAGCUCUUGGCAUGCGUGCUGUUUAUCAAAAUAACAGCUCAUUGAAAUACAGCCCAAAGGACUGCCAGGAAGGUUGAAUGAAGCACUGUUGUUUCCAGCACACCACGGUCUCCAUUGGUUUCUCCAGAGGAGGGAAGUGCGUGGGCUCCAGGAACGCACCCCAUGCCCAAAGCCCACCUGGUUCUGCCUGCACGUGGAGCUGCCAUGGGACUGCGCCUCGGCCAGAUCUGGACAUUGCUUUGUUAGCAAAGUGCCACCUGCCAGGAGUCUGCCCCUGGGGCAUCAUUCUGGUCAUCCACAGGGAAAAGAAAUGCUGGAUGUACUCCUGACACCAUUAAUUUGAUCUGUAAACAAGCUAUGCUUUUUAUUAACAACUUCAUGCUGCAGAAUGUUAUAAGGUAUGUGCUUCUUUGUAAGAAACGCAUGCUGUUUUAUAUUCAUAUCCGUGCCUGCCUUAUAGCUGGCUUUGUGACGCUACUCAUUAAUUCAGGAUUGAAAUGUCUUUCUCACUCUAUGACAUUUAGGUGCCUGAUAUUUUUUACAAAGCUUAUUAAAACUCAGAUUUGU
ensembl:lncRNA